AUUGAACGCUGGCGGCAUGCCUUACACAUGCAAGUCGAACGGUAACAGGGAGCUUGCUCCGCUGACGAGUGGCGAACGGGUGAGUAAUAUAUCGGAACGUACCUUUGAGUGGGGGAUAACUAGUCGAAAGACUAGCUAAUACCGCAUACGAUCUACGGAUGAAAGCGGGGGAUCGCAAGACCUCGUGCUCAUAGAGCGGCCGAUAUCUGAUUAGCUAGUUGGUGAGGUAAAGGCUCACCAAGGCAUCGAUCAGUAGCUGGUCUGAGAGGACGACCAGCCACACUGGGACUGAGACACGGCCCAGACUCCUACGGGAGGCAGCAGUGGGGAAUUUUGGACAAUGGGGGCAACCCUGAUCCAGCAAUGCCGCGUGAGUGAAGAAGGCCUUCGGGUUGUAAAGCUCUUUGUCAGGGAAGAAACCGGGAUGUCCUAAUACGGUGUCCUAAUGACGGUACCUGAAGAAUAAGCACCGGCUAACUACGUGCCAGCAGCCGCGGUAAUACGUAGGGUGCAAGCGUUAAUCGGAAUUACUGGGCGUAAAGCGUGCGCAGGCGGUUGUGUAAGACAGGUGUGAAAUCCCCGGGCUUAACCUGGGAAUGGCAUUUGUGACUGCACGGCUAGAGUGUGUCAGAGGGGGGUAGAAUUCCACGUGUAGCAGUGAAAUGCGUAGAGAUGUGGAGGAAUACCGAUGGCGAAGGCAGCCCCCUGGGAUAACACUGACGCUCAUGCACGAAAGCGUGGGGAGCAAACAGGAUUAGAUACCCUGGUAGUCCACGCCCUAAACGAUGUCUACUAGUUGUCGGGUCUUAAUUGACUUGGUAACGCAGCUAACGCGUGAAGUAGACCGCCUGGGGAGUACGGUCGCAAGAUUAAAACUCAAAGGAACUGACGGGGACCCGCACAAGCGGUGGAUGAUGUGGAUUAAUUCGAUGCAACGCGAAAAACCUUACCUACCCUUGACAUGGAAGGAAUCCUGAAGAGAUUUGGGAGUGCUCGAAAGAGAACCUUUACACAGGUGCUGCAUGGCUGUCGUCAGCUCGUGUCGUGAGAAUGUUGGGUUAAGUCCCGCAACGAGCGCAACCCUUGUCAUUAGUUGCUACGAAAGGGCACUCUAAUGAGACUGCCGGUGACAAACCGGAGGAAGGUGGGGAUGACGUCAAGUCCUCAUGGCCCUUAUGGGUAGGGCUUCACACGUCAUACAAUGGUACAUACAGAGGGCCGCCAACCCGCGAGGGGGAGCUAAUCCCAGAAAGUGUAUCGUAGUCCGGAUUGUAGUCUGCAACUCGACUACAUGAAGUUGGAAUCGCUAGUAAUCGCGGAUCAGCAUGUCGCGGUGAAUACGUUCCCGGGUCUUGUACACACCGCCCGUCACACCAUGGGAGCGGGUUUUACCAGAAGUAGGUAGCCUAACCGUAAGGAGGGCGCUUACCACGGUAGGAUUCGUGACUGGGGUG
rnacentral:rRNA from 1 species